rnacentral:rRNA from 4 species
AGACCCGAAACCCGGUGAUCUAGCCAUGGGCAGGUUGAAGGUUGGGUAACACUAACUGGAGGACCGAACCGACUAAUGUUGAAAAAUUAGCGGAUGACCUGUGGCUGGGGGUGAAAGGCCAAUCAAACCGGGAGAUAGCUGGUUCUCCCCGAAAGCUAUUUAGGUAGCGCCUCGUGAAUUCAUCUCCGGGGGUAGAGCACUGUUUCGGCUAGGGGGCCAUCCCGGCUUACCAACCCGAUGCAAACUGCGAAUACCGGAGAAUGUUAUCACGGGAGACACACGGCGGGUGCUAACGUCCGUCGUGAAGAGGGAAACAACCCAGACCGCCAGCUAAGGUCCCAAAGUCAUGGUUAAGUGGGAAACGAUGUGGGAAGGCCCAGACAGCCAGGAUGUUGGCUUAGAAGCAGCCAUCAUUUAAAGAAAGCGUAAUAGCUCACUGGUCGAGUCGGCCUGCGCGGAAGAUGUAACGGGGCUAAACCAUGCACCGAAGCUGCGGCAGCGACGCUGAUGCGUUGUUGGGUAGGGGAGCGUUCUGUAAGCCUGUGAAGGUGUGUCGUGAGGC